GUCCACGCCCUAAACGUUGAUUACUCGUUGUUGGCGAUAUACAGUCAGCGACUAAGCUAAAGCGUUAAGUAAUCCACCUGGGAAGUACGACCGCAAGGUUGAAACUCAAAGGAAUUGACGGGGCCCGCACAAGCGGAGGAGCAUGUGGUUUAAUUCGAUGAUACGCGAGGAACCUUACCUGGGCUUGAAAGUUAGUGACCGCCUCUGAAAAGGAGGCUUCUCUUCGGAGCACAAAAACUAGGUGCUGCAUGGCUGUCGU
rnacentral:rRNA from 1 species